GAUUAUCAUGGAAAUGGAUCAACAUAUCCUACAUAUCACAAAAGUUAAAUGUUGUUAUGGAACGUAAUACUAUUUACUGUCUGUUCAAUAUUGCAUAGUAACAGUGAAUAUGCACAACAAUCAUUUUGAAAAAAAAAAUAUGAUUUUAGACAGAUUUUAACAGUGCACCACCACUAUAGCAAAUACUCAAAAAUUCACUGACAGCAGCUGAUAUUAACAUACCAGCAACCAGAAACUGAACAGAUCUGCAUUAAAGAAGAAAAUGUUGUGUGACAAAAAGAUCCUGUGACAGGCUGAAAACCUGUCACGAAAAUAUGAAAAGAAGACUUCAGAAAGAUCUUGCAGAAGAAGAGGUGGAAGUGUAUAAAACAGGUUGGGGGGAAGCCUACCCAAAAAACCAACAAAUGCAUAUGAUUCUGAUGCACAGUUUAGUAUGACUGUGGAUGUUGUUAACAUAGAGCGCAGUGCUGUGCAGUGAGAACACGCCAUCUGCUUCAGUUGUCGAGUUAGCAGAGUGCACACAACCUAGCACUUCCCACACACCUGACGUAAUACAAAGUAAAGAGACAUCAAAGAAUGUUCUGGUGGCUGUCACCCAGCUGCAGACUGUUUCGCAGUCUCCUGAUCCACCCAAAGAAAACAUUUUCACACCGAAAAAUACAUGGCAUCAUAGCAGGAUGCCUGCAAAACCGGGGCCAUCAGGUUCGGGAACAGUAAUUGAAAAUGUGUGCAAGAAGAGAGUGGAACUACUGGAGGCCCAAUUACACAUAAUGAAGCCUGAACAUAAGAAGGAGCUAAUGAUUAAAAAUUUAAAGAUUCUGGCCAUAAAAGAAAAACUAAAAUACUGGAAGAAGAAAAAUGCCAGUAACAUGAUUUUUUUUCCUAUGACAGUGAAUUUUUGUAAUUUUUUCUGCUGUUUUGUAUUCUAGCUAAUGUAUCAAAAUUGUCUCACAGGUGAAACUGUUUCUGUCUUUGUCCCAUUAGUGAUGACUACUACUAUCCUAAUUGUUGUCUGUCUAAUAUCUGCUUAUAGCUUACUUGGUCUGUACUAAGUUUAAUCUAAUCACUUGAAAUUAGAAUUGCUUCAUAAAUAAAAACAGGUUAGCGACA